GCCUGGGUGGCACAGCGGUUGGGCGUCUGCCUUCGGCUCAGGGCAUGCGUGAUCCCGGCGUUGUGGGUUCGAGCCCCACAUCAGGCU
rfam:Ailuropoda melanoleuca scaffold1335_5, whole genome shotgun sequence.